rnacentral:rRNA from 1 species
GUUAUAAGAGGUCAGCCUGCCCAGUGACAAAAUUUAACGGCCGCGGUACCCUGACCGUGCGAAGGUAGCAUAUAAUUUGUUCUUUAAAUAGGGACUAGUAUCAACGGCAUCACGAGGGUUUUACUGUCUCCUUUCUCCAAUCAGUGAAACUGAUCUUCCCGUGAAGAAGCGGGAAUAAACCUAUAAGACGAGAAGACCCCAUGGAGCUUUAAAUUUCACAGCAACUCAGUAACAUAUUUCCUUAUAACUCAAAGAGUUAUGCAUGCCAAUUUUAGGUUGGGGUGACCGCGGAGUAUAAAAUAACCUCCACAUCGAAAAGAACUAAAUCUUUAUUUAAGAGCCACAACUCUAAAAAUUAGUACACUAACGAACAAUGACCCGAUAAUCGAUCAACGGACCAAGUUACCCUGGGGAUAACAGCGCAAUCUACUUCAAGAGCCCAUAUCGACAAGUAGGCUUACGACCUCGAUGUUGGAUCAGGGUAUCCCAGUGGUGCAGCCGCUACUAAUGGUUCGUUUGUUCAACGAUUAAAACCCUACGUGAUCUGUUU